AUAGGGGAGCCGGAGGGAAACCGAGUCUUAAUUGGGCGUUAAGUUGCAGGGUAUAGACCCGAAACCCGGUGAUCUAGCCAUGGGCAGGUUGAAGGUUGGGUAACACUAACUGGAGGACCGAACCGACUAAUGUUGAAAAAUUAGCGGAUGACCUGUGGCUGGGGGUGAAAGGCCAAUCAAACCGGGAGAUAGCUGGUUCUCCCCGAAAGCUAUUUAGGUAGCGCCUCGUGAAUUCAUCUCCGGGGGUAGAGCACUGUUUCGGCUAGGGGGCCAUCCCGGCUUACCAACCCGAUGCAAACUGCGAAUACCGGAGAAUGUUAUCACGGGAGACACACGGCGGGUGCUAACGUCCGUCGUGAAGAGGGAAACAACCCAGACCGCCAGCUAAGGUCCCAAAGUCAUGGUUAAGUGGGAAACGAUGUGGGAAGGCCCAGACAGCCAGGAUGUUGGCUUAGAAGCAGCCAUCAUUUAAAGAAAGCGUAAUAGCUCACUGGUCGAGUCGGCCUGCGCGGAAGAUGUAACGGGGCUAAACCAUGCACCGAAGCUGCGGCAGCGACACUGUGUGUUGUUGGGUAGGGGAGCGUUCUGUAAGCCUGCGAAGGUGG
rnacentral:rRNA from 1 species